CUGGGAUACUCUGUAUCACUAUAUACAGCCAGCCUGGGAUACUCUGUAUCACUAUAUACAGCCAGCCAGAGAUACUCUGUAUCACUAUAUACAGCCAGCCUGGGAUACUCUGUAUCACUAUAUACAGCCAGCCAGAGAUACUCUGUAUCACUAUAUACAGCCAGCCUGAGAUACUCUCUAUCACUAUAUACAGCCAGCCUGGGAUACUCUGUGUAAGGAAAUCAAGUAUAGCUGAACCGCUUUGAUAAUUCCUCCUGCAAUGCCAGCGUCUAAGGUAGUUCCAAGCAAUGAAGUCCAUAAGAAAUAUAACAGCUUCCCAAGAUAAUCCCCUUGGUAAAGCAUACGAAUUCCCAAAUAACAGUCAGAGUCCAGAAUCAGGAUACAAGUAGAUCUGAGGUCUGGAAUCUCCAGCCUGCUUUUUAUUAGGGUUACAGACAAGAAAUACACACCCAGGGGGAGGCAUUAAAU